UGGGGAAUUUUGGACAAUGGGCGCAAGCCUGAUCCAGCCAUGCCGCGUGAGUGAAGAAGGCCUUCGGGUUGUAAAGCUCUUUCGGUUGGGAAGAAAUUGCUUCGGAUAAUACCCGGAGUAGAUGACGGUACCAGCAUAAGAAGCACCGGCUAACUACGUGCCAGCAGCCGCGGUAAUACGUAGGGUGCGAGCGUUAAUCGGAAUUACUGGGCGUAAAGCGUGCGCAGGCGGUUGUGUAAGUCAGAUGUGAAAUCCCCGGGCUCAACCUGGGAACUGCAUUUGAGACUGCACGGCUAGAGUGUGGCAGAGGGGGGUAGAAUUCCACGUGUAGCAGUGAAAUGCGUAGAGAUGUGGAGGAAUACCGAUGGCGAAGGCAGCCCCCUGGGCCAAUACUGACGCUCAUGCACGAAAGCGUGGGGAGCAAACA
rnacentral:rRNA from 1 species